UCAUUAUCGAGUUCGGGUGCCCUCUGGGUGCCCAUCUCCCAACCCUGUGUCUAUGAUACCCAUCAGUUGCUUCGGCGUGCCGGGGAGGCUUGACCGCCUUUCCCGCCGGGUCUCACCGCCUGGAGAGCGUACGCCGAUGGCCUCACAUUAACACUUGAACCCCAAAACCUGUCGUCUGAACUAUUUGUGAUUACUAUAAUCAAAAACAAAACUUUCAACAACGGAUCUCUUGGUUCUGGCAUCGAUGAAGAACGCAGCGAAAUGCGAUAAGUAAUGCGAAUUGCAGAAUUUCCGUGAGUCAUCGAAUCUUUGAACGCACAUUGCGCCCACUGGUAUUCCGGUGGGCAUGCCUGUUCGAGCGUCAUUAUCCUCUCUCCCACAACCCUCGGGUGGUGGGGGCGUUGGACCGCGUCGUAGCAAUACAACUGGUCUCAAAGACAAUGACGGCGUCCGUGGGACCCUCUUCGCAACGAGUCUUUCGGGGCACGCGAGGAGUUGCAAGGUCUCCGCGACACGGUCUCCACCUUUAUAUUUUUUUUCAGGUUGACCUCGGAUCAGGUAGGAAUACCCGCUGAACUUAAGCAACGA
rnacentral:rRNA from 1 species